CGCAGAGUCACCUCCUGGUCGCGCGCAGCUUCCCGGGGUUUCCCUGCGGGGAUCGCUUGUCCUGGGUGUUUGGACUCACGUGCGGGCCGGAGGUGGCCAAGAGCUGGAACUCGCUGUGCCAGCCACUUCUCUUCUCCCUAAAUCCCCCCCCCUCCAGGGUUCCCCAGCGCAGUGUUCUGGUUUCGUCAAAUAGCUGAACGUCCUAGGGUCUUCGAGUUGAGGAGUUGGGGAGCGAAGAGCAAGCUGGGAGGAGAAACAAUGAAGAAGAUGAAAAAGAAGGCGGCAGUGUACUGAGGGCAAGGAAGGAAAGUGCAACCCGAAUGAGUAUGCAGGAGAAAUGCCGUCAUGAAGGAGAGGCAAAGCCCUCCAGCGAGAGGGGAACUCCUGGAAAGAAAAAUCCGUUUCUCCAUUGGGAAACCACCAAUGCUUGCAGUGGAUAGCUUGGAAAAUUUGGACCACCUCCCAUCAGAAUUCUGAGUAGUGGAGAGUCACGGAUAGACUUCAGGACCUAGAGCAUGCCUUCACCAGUCCCACUUCCCAAUCUAAGUUUCUGGGAAGUCUGAUGACCCCAAGUUCUUGGCCAGUGAUGAGAAAUUCAUGCUGGAAAGUGAUGGUCACUGAGGAGAUGCAAGAAGCUAAGCCGCUGAAAAGUUCAAGCAGCUGGAAGAGACCUGCCCCAUAUAAGAAGUUUCUCCUUGUCUGCUCAUUAAAAGAAAAAUUAUCUGUGAAAUGGAACCUUAUUGAACUUCAAUACUUUCUGAAAAUGGUAAUCCCUCGGUAUGUAUUAAUUAUUUAAAUUGUAAAUAAAUGAUACAAUCUCAUGGCA
rnacentral:lncRNA from 1 species